CAUGACUACUCUCCCUUUUCGAAACGUUUUGAAAAACAAUGCAACCAUCCCAAUGGAAUAUUAUUGAAGCCCUGGUUGAAAAAGCCCCUAAAGAGUUAUGUUAUACAACGUUUGACAUGUUUGAACGAACUUAAAUCAUUUUUUUUUGCUCAUUCCUGACGACAAGUCAGACGCACACGGUACAUUUUCACUAGCCUUCGGAGCGCGCUAACACUAUUGGGACAUAAAUUAUUCACUUUUUUGAACAAAACUACAUUUGUUAUGGACCUGGGAUUCCUAGAAGUGCCUUCUGAUAAAGAUAAUCAAAGGACAAUGACCCAGGCUCCAGGCUGUGUAAGGG
rnacentral:lncRNA from 1 species